UGUGAACCUUUUAUUGUUGGUGUCUUGGUGAAUGACAAUCAACCAUUCACUUAUCAUGGCUAAAUCUACCCGUUCCUGAAAACUCAGCACUGUAUUAGAGGUUUCAUGAGUCUGGAGCUGAAAAUUCAAGUAAGCUUUAUUUUUAAAAACAUACACAACUCUGCCAGCAUUAAGACUCUAAGAGUGAUAGAGACAAUGUUAUAUAUUACUAUAUUAUACUAUUUAUGUAUUUCUAUCUAUCUUCAGCUUCAUGGUGUCUGUGGUAUACUGGCUUUCCUCCUUCUCUGACUGUUAUCAUCUCCAUCUGCUCUGUACAGCUGUCACUAUGUUGUAUCUUUUCUAAUAACCUUCCCUCACACUAUGCAAAUGCCUCCCAACUGGUCCAAUUUGUGACAGUCUUGAUUUACAGGAUCCUGUCCCACCAUCCUGCCUCAGUACCCUGGUGUCCCACUUUUAGAGACACCAGGGAUCUGUCCCCAACAAUCAUUGCACGCGCACAUGAACCAGCCUGAAUGAUGGACAGGCAGUCUGACGUGUACACAGGCUGUGCUACCAUUAACUCGGGUGGACCUUCCCAUAAGGGUCUGCCCCUUUGGGGAUGAAGCUAGUGAUGUAAUCACGUCACAUUCUCAGGAUGACAGUGUUGGGAGGUAUGCAAUCCAGUCUUAAUUGAUGACUUGUUAAAGAAAGUAUAAAGUAACAUUAUUACCAUUUGGGCCGGCACUACCAUAAGGUGGCACAAGCGGCCGCCUUAAGGCGCACAGACCCGAGGGGCGCAAAAAUGUCUGAGUGACCGGCGGGAGCACGGAGGACUCUGCUCCAGCCAGUCAAUUUCUGCAGCAAUCUAUCCAGCUAACUGGGAAACGUGCAGCCACUGAGGGAAGGGGGCGGAACAGCGAGGAGCAACCGCAGCAAAUCUCUUCCUGAGCUACAGGCCGCUGGGAUACAUGACAUCAUAUCCUGGCGGCCAACUGCUGUGGAGAGAGGAGGAACGCUACAACAGUGCAGCGGGACCACUGUUUAGCAACUAUAAGAAACAGUAAGUGUGUGUGUAAGAGUUAGUGUGUGUGUCUGUGUGUGUAAGAGUUAAUGUGUGUGUGUUAGAGCCAGUGUGUGUGUGUGUGUGUGUGUGUGUGUGUGUUAGAGCCAGUGUGUGUGUGUGUAAGAGUUAGUGUGUGUGUGUAAGAGUUAGUGUGAGUAUGUGUCUAUAAGCUGUGUGUGUAAGAGACUGUGUGAGUGUAAAGCAGUGUGUGUGUGAGAGACUGUGUGUGUGUUACAGCCAGUGAGUGUGUGUAAGGCAGUGUGUGCGUAAGAGACUGUUUGUGUGUGUCUGUUAGAGCCAGUGAGUGUGUAUAAGCAGUGCAAGUGUGUAAGAGACUGUGUGCGUUAGAGCCAGUGUGUGUAUAAGCAGCGUGUGUAAUGGUCAGUGUGUGUGUGUGUGUAACGGUCAGUGUGUGUGUGACGCAAGGGGUAAAGAAAAGUAGGAUGAAGACACAAAACACAUGAAAAAGAAUGCCAAACAGGGGAUGCAAUAUACAAAAAGGGAAAACAAGAGAAAAAGGUGGUAAGAUGCACAAAAGGGGCAAAAGCAUGGGUAAGAGGGGCAAAAGUGGGAAUAUUAGACAGACAGGUGAAGAUAAAUUUUGGGGGCAGCAAAAUGUUUCUUCGCCUGUGUAGAUAGAAGUCCUUGCACCGGCCCUGAUUACCGUCAAACAAAAUACCUGCUUUUAUUUAUCUACUGGGUGCGCAGGUUCCAUAGAAGACUUUGUGUAGCAUCUUUUUAGUGAAAAAAAGAGUCAGGUGUACAUAAUCUGCAUAUAAGUAGGCACAAUGGAAAAAGCGAUUGCAUAUGUAGAAGCUCGACAUUACAUAAGGGUAGAACUCAAACAGUGCAAUUAGAAAAACAUUAAAGGUACAUGCAUCACUUGACAAUUUUUUUAAACCAGCAAGCAAACACUUUUCGACAAAUAUACAAACUGAAAUAAAUUAGGAAAGGAUUGUAAAAUAUGUAAUAAACAUUUAAAAACUCUAUUAUUUCCUUUGUUGGGAAUGUCUUUUUUGCUAAGAGAGUUUCUUCAGCCUUCUCCCCUUCUUACCCUCCUCUCUGCUUUCUGCUAUAUCACCUCCUAACAUAAUAAAUAUGUUAACACUAAUUAUAAAAUUUCAAUUUGCACUUCUGCUCUCUUUGCUCUUGUACACACCGAGGCACCCAGCGACAGCAUUAACUACACGAUCCCCCAUGCCACGGUUAUCUGGGGUUAAUUUUAGCCCAUGAUGGAAUUAUACCGUCAUGGGUCCUAUAGAGAAGAAUAUCCAUGAAACAUAGAAACAUAGAAUGUAAUGGCAAAUAAGAACCAUUCGGCCCAUCUAGUCUAUCCAAUUUUUUAAAUACUUUCAUUAGUCCCUAGCCUUAUCUUAUAGUUAGGAUAGCCUUAUGCCUAUCCCACUCAUGCUUAAAGAAAAUUAUUCUGUUAAGGGGUUAAAGGAGCAUUUUAUAUCCUGUAGUGUUGAUAGUGCCAGGAAUACCCUGUUGCCAUUCCAUGUUUUAGUUUUCGCAUCAUUAAUUGGCUGAAAGCAUCAGAUGAAAGACCGGGCUGGUCCAGAUAAAAACAGUUCUUGCUGAUUUUUGGCUACCGUCAGAGCAUUUUCCCACUCUCCAUUUCCUAUAAUAGUCAGUAGAUGUCUAGAUUUUUCACACUUUAUUAAUUGAAUGUCAGCAUAUAAUUUCCUAAAGCAUGUUCUGUUAAAUGAGCCAUACAAGUGCCAUUUUCUUGUUAUUGCAGAAAUCUUGAUUUAUUUGUGAUAUUCUCUUUAACCCUGUUGUUGUGACAAUUCAAAUUUGAAUCUUGCCCUCCCUGUCUUUGAUGUGUGUUUUUUACAUUGCAGUGAGUACAAUGAGAGGAAUUUCCUGGACUUUUAUGACUUUGGGAUAGACCCAGUGGGGUCAUGUUUCAUAUAUCAGCAAUUUGCAUUUGCUAGUUUCUUAGUGACAGAUAUUGUUGCAAUUCCGGAAACACAUCAUGUGCCAAUUCCAGGGAGUCAUUAGUAAGUGUGCAAUAAUUACAUCUUCCAUUAUAUGGAAAACAUUUUUGACACUGUCAAUAAUUAGACUAAUCUUGUUGCUUGUUUGCUUUUUCUAAUUUUGUGAUCAAGCAAUAACACAAUGCACAUGUUCAACAGAAGCAGCAUUGCAUAAAUGGAAUUAAAUAAUUGUACUCUAAUCAGAAUUCUGUAGCUCGUCUGUUGUGCUCUCAAGGGAAGCUGGACUGGAAAUACACACUGAUAGGAUGACUGGUGAGCUGCCAGUGCACAUGAAUUCAUGCAGGGGACUAUUCCUCAAAACAUAAUGCCAACAAAAGCCAGUGCUCCUUGCCAGAGUGGAUCCAGAACCUAAUAUCAGGAGGGCACUGGAAGAUUAUUUAACGGAACCUAGUUAGACAGGCAGACAGACAGUCUGACAGACAGAAAGACAGAGAUAGUUUCUAUCUGUAUGUUUCUUUUGUAAUUAAAAAUAUUGAUCCUUUGAGAGUAAAAAAAAUACAUUCUAUACUAAGCAUACACACGUGCCUGCACAAACAAGCCCACAGACCAUCUCACUGAUAUAUACAGACAAUCUCAUUGAUACGCACAGACAAGCUCACUGACAGAUAAUCUCACUGGUACACAAACAAGCUCACUGACACACACAGACAUGCUCACUGGCAGACAAGAUCACUGUGUCAAGAUACAUGUAAGGGACCCAAAAAAUACAGACCCUAAUCUACAACAGAGAGUACUAUAAUCCAUAUUACGGACCUUAGAGUAGUAAUGUAAGAAUGGUCAAUUAGAUUGCCAAGGUCAAGGGCAGGAGAAAAAAAAAGCCAAAAUUCAGGGAUACAGGAAAAAUGGUAAUCAAACCAAAGUCAAUGACAGGAAAUCAGAAAAUAUCACAGAAGCACUAUUGGGCUAAACAAGAACCAAAACAAGACUUGUGUCAAGAAAGGCCAGGAUUUAAAUACUAGUGGCUCUAUUAGGAUUGGGCCAUGUCACAGGGAAGUGCCAGAAGACACAAGAUAAGCAAUUUGCUGAUUUCGCCUCAUCCGGGAGGCGCACCAUUCGGACAUAAGCGCAAAUGCAUAGAAAGAAACGCUCACGAGCAGUGUGCAGUGUCCAAAUUAUUACCGGAGCAGCAAGGAUGAGUCCCAGAAGUGGUAAGUAUGACACAAUGGCAUACACACAAUCUCACUGAUACAAACAGACAACCUCACUGACAGACAUUCACGUACACACACUCACUACAGACGAACUCAAGGAAGGCUGUGCAUUUGAUGCUUAUUUGCAUCUGGCAGUUGUGUACUAUAGAGGUUUGUGUGGAUUAAAGGCUUACUUCAGUGAAAGUUGUCAUCAUACAGUAACUGCAUAGGGUUGAUCCCAACUCCCGAGGUCUGAGAAGAAACAGGCAACCCUGCACAUACCUGGUCAAUGGGCUCAUGUUCUAGAAUACCAUAACAUGCCUGGACACACUGUUUGAAUUUCCUGUGGUGCCAACAGCUCUAGACCUGGAGCAGUGGCUCCCCAACACUGGUCCUCAUCACUGGGAAAAGCGAAAAACCGGACAUCAGCGCAGGUUGGACACAUCCCUGUGACAAUGGCUCAGGCUAUGCAACCUCUCAGAGUAGCAGCCAAGUUGUAGUGGGGUCCUCAAAGGCACUGCCUUAGUCAUUAUUCCCCAUCUUACUGGCAACUAGGGGGGCACGUGCCCUGAUGCUCCCUGAUGCUCCCUCGAAAUCCCCGCUAGCUUCUACAGGGUUAAUUUAGUUGCAUUUGUGGCAUAACCACAUAAAGUACUGUCUUUGUUUAAUUUUAAUAACUGUUACUUGAAAUCAAGAAAACUCUAAAUUUUUAUAAUUUUCCAUAGAGUGCAGAGCAUUAGUAAAGGAAUCCUAUAGUCUCAAAAACAAUAUUUGAUUGGGACUGUAAGUUCCCUGCCAUUAUUAUGAUCGCUGUUGAACCCCUUGUAAGCUUCAACAUGUUAAAGGAUCACUAUAGGGUCUGGAACACAAACAUGUAUUCCUGACCCUAAAGUGUUAAAACCACCAUCUAGCCUCCCUGGGCCCCUCAUGCCUCCUUAAAUAUAGUAAAAAUCUUACCAUAUUCAAGCUUGAAGCUGUAACUCUGCAUGCUGUUAGACUCAGAAGAACAAGCAGUGUGCUGACAUCAUCAGAAGUGGUAGCCUGAUCCAAUCACAAUGCUUCCCCAUUGGAUUGGCUGAGACUGACAAGGAAGCAGAUCAGGGGCAGAGCCAGCAUGAUUGAAACACAGCCCUGGCCAAUCAGCAUCUCCUCAUAGAGAUGAAUUGAAUCAAUGAAGCUCUAUGAGGAAAGUUCAGUGUCUGCAUGCAGAGGGUGGAUGUAGCGUUACUUACCUUAACCGGGGGCCGGUCGCGGUCCUCUCUUCAAGCCGCGCGCGGUCCUGCGGCUGCACGAGCCGCGCGCGGCUCAUCCGACUGCUUCAGAUGGAAGGCGGGCAGUGACCGCGUGAAGCGGUCACGUGUCCCGCCUGAAACUAAGAGCGCGCCGCGAGUCUCGGGCGCGCUCUUAAAGAGACAGUGGGAGCCUAAUUGCCAAAAGGCUCCCAUUGGCUCCUGUCAUACCACACUCCCUAUACAAUUACCUAUAGGGGGUGUGGAAGUGACAGGAGCCAAUCACUUUGGUUUAAAAGCUAUUUAACUUACCUUUUUCCCUUAGCUCGUUGCCCUAUCGUGGUUUCUGUUUCAGUUCCCUUUAGCGCUUGUGGUGUUCAGUUGUGUUUUCUCGUAUUGACUUUGGCUUCGUAUUCUGACUUCGUUUUCGCUUUAUCCUUAUCUGUACUGUUUGCCGGCUUGCUGUUUUCCGUGUACCAGACCCCGGCUUGUCCUAGUUUACGCUGUCUCUCUGUGCCCUUGACCUCGGUUUGUUCCUGGCUCUGUCUCCUCUCAUAUACGUCGAGUCCGGCCAUUCUAAGGUCCGGUAGACGUAUCUCUCCUCUGUAUUUGCCUCUGUUUAGCUGGAUCCUGCGUGUAGGGGUAUAUUCUCGUUACAUUACGAUAGGGCCAUGGACCCCGCAGAUUUAGCUCAACAGAUGGCGUCCCAUGAGGCAAGAUUUGUAGAGCAGGAUCACCGUAUGGAUCAGAUAGCUCAGGCUCUCCAGACGCUCCUAGCUAGAACCGUUCCAGCAACCACACCUAACCCUCCUACGCCCCUUCUCCCUGAAGUAUCUACUUUGCCUAAUACUUCGGCCCAUUUAACACCUCCUCCUAGGUAUGGAGGGGACUCUAAGACUUGCAGAGGGUUUAUUAAUCAAAUUGAAUUCCACUUCGAAAUGUAUCCACGUUCAUUUCCCACAGAGAGGUCUAAGGUUGGGUUCUUUAUGCACCAACUCACCGAUAAGGCACUUGAGUGGGCAAAUCCUAUUUGGGAAGCUAAUGGACCUAUGGUGCAUGAUUUCAACAGUUUUCUUACGGCUUUUCGUAGAACUUUUGACACAAUGAAAAGGUCAAAGAAUGCCGCGAGAGCAUUAAUGAGAAUUAAACAGGGUUCUAGGUCUGUGGCUGAUUAUGCUAUUCCGUUUCGCACUCUUGCUUCGCAGGUAGAUUGGACCAACAAUGGGUUAACUACUGCCUUUAUGGAAGGUUUGUCAGAUACGAUAUUGGAUGAGGUAGCAGCUAAGGAGCUUCCUAUUGCCUUAGAGGACCUUAUCGAUUACCUCAUUGAUAUAGAUAAUAGAAUUCGUGACAGGCUCUAUACCAAGAACAGGAAUAGAUGUUUUGUUACACCCAUUAACCCCAGAGUUAAUAUACCAGAGAGUGUUAAAGUGUCUGAGGAGGAACCUAUGCAAUUAGGGGUUGCCAAACUCUCUGAUACUGAGAAAUUACAUAGGAGAAGGGAGGGACUCUGCCUAUACUGUGGUAGGAGAGACCAUAUGGUAAAGGAAUGUCCUUUACUCCCGGAAAACUCUCGCACCUAAGACCUUAUAGGGGACUGGCCUUGGGUGUGAUAUCUAAGUCUCCUAAAUUGCCUCCUAACCGCUUGCUUCUCCCGGUUUCUUUAUAUAUGGGAGAGAUUUGUAUAGUUGACAACAUAUAUGCUCUGGUUGACUCUGGGGCAGCUGAAAAUUUUAUAGACUCUGGCUUUAUAAAGAGAAACAACAUUCCCAUCAGAGAGAAGGAGAUACCCUUGGCCGUUGAGGCCAUAGAUGGUAGACCAUUAAGUUCUCCAGUUGUUACUCAUGAGACUGUACCAUUACACAUGUACACAGGGGUUUUACACUAUGAAACCAUUCGAUUCCAGGUCAUCACCUCUCCCUCUUCACAGUUAGUAUUAGGGUAUCCAUGGUUACGUGCUCACAAUCCCAUUUUUGACUGGGAGACAGGGCAAAUAAAAUCAUGGAGUGAGGCCUGCCACGAGUCUUGUACGUUGGAAGUCACACCUUUGAAUUCUAUUGAGGUACCUACCAGUCCUCCUUUGUCUACGGUUAUACCCCCUCAGUAUUUAUCUCUAAAGACUGUUUUCGAUAAAAGGGAGGCUGAGAAAUUACCGCCUCACAGACCCUAUGAUUGCGCUAUUGACUUGUUGCCUGGCACUAUACCUCCAAAGGGCAGGGUGUACCCCUUAUCGGUUCAAGAAAACCGUGUCAUGGAGGAGUAUAUUAAGGAAUCACUAGAAAAGGGGUUUAUUAGGAGAUCCUCUUCUCCAGCUGGAGCAGGGUUCUUCUUUGUAUCGAAGAAAGAAGGUGAUUUAAGACCGUGUAUAGAUUAUAGAGGUCUAAACAAAAUCACUAUCAAAAAUGCAUACCCUAUACCUUUAAUUACAGAAUUAUUUGACAGGCUGAAACAUGCCACUGUGUUCACUAAAUUAGACCUUAGGAGUGCAUACAAUUUGAUACGUAUAAAGGAAAAUCACGAAUGGAAGACUGCAUUCAACACUAGAUCCGGUCAUUACGAAUAUACUGUUAUGCCAUUUGGGCUUUGCAAUGCCCCAGCAGUAUUCCAAGAAUUUAUUAAUGAUGUCUUAAGAGAUUUUAUUCACACAUUUGUUAUCGUAUACUUGGACGACAUUUUAAUAUAUUCUACAGAUAUACACACUCAUCACAGACAUGUUACGACAGUUUUGAAGACCCUUCUUGCUAAUGGUCUUUAUUGCAAGCUAGAAAAAUGUUUGUUUGACCAAACCGAAGUCCAGUUCUUGGGGUAUUUGAUUUCCGCUAAAGGUUUUCGUAUGGAUCCCCAGAAGCUUGCUGCUGUAAUAGAAUGGCCUCUACCGCAAGGUCUGAAAGCUAUUCAGCGUUUUCUUGGGUUCUCCAAUUAUUAUAGACGUUUUAUCAAAGGUUUCUCGUCCAUUGUAGCACCUAUUACCCGUAUGACUAAAAAGGAUGGCAAUACUCGUGUUUGGUCUACCGAGGCACUUCAGGCUUUUGAAUUUCUUAAAACUACGUUCGCCUCUGCACCUAUUUUACAGCAUCCUGUCCCCUCACUGCCCUAUAUUCUUGAAGUUGAUGCUUCGGAUAUUGGGGUAGGUGCUGUCUUAUCCCAAAGAGAGUCGCCUGAAAAGCCAUUGCAUCCAUGCGGCUUCUUUUCUAAACAAAUGUCCAAAGCAGAGAAAAAUUAUGAUGUGGGUAAUCGCGAACUCCUUGCUAUUAUUUUAGCACUUAAAGAGUGGAGACAUUUGUUAGAAGGAACUAAGGAUCCUAUCCUCAUUUUUACGGAUCACAAGAACCUAUCCUACCUUAGCGAAGCCAAAAGAUUGUCUUCCAGGCAGGCUAGGUGGUCACUAUUUUUGUCCCGUUUCAAUUUUAUUAUCACCUAUAGGCCAGGUGAUCGCAACACUAAAGCAGACGCUCUGUCCAGACAGUUCGAAACUACUGACAAACAGGAGAUUGAUGUUACUCCUGUCAUUCCCCCAGACAGGAUAAUAGCUACUACUAUUUUGUCUAUUUCCUCGUCCCUCUUGCAGGCCAUACAAGCGAAACAAAGCAUGGCACCUAGCGAGAGGCCUAAUGAUAAACUGUUCGUUGAUGUUCCUGAGAGACGGGAUAUUAUGUCAUUAUAUCAUGAUACUAAGACUGCUGGACAUCCUGGUAUUUCCAAAACGGUGUCAGCUGUUUCUCGGUAUUUUUGGUGGGAUUCCUUACGAAAGGAUGUCACUGACUAUAUAAGUGCUUGUACUACUUGUGCCUGUAUGAAAUCCUCCCGUAGAGUUCCUUGUGGGCUGUUGCAUCCGUUACCCGUUCCCGAGAGACCUUGGUCUAACCUGUCCAUGGAUUUUAUUGUUGAAUUACCCCCUUCAAAUGGUAACACAGUAAUCCUGAUGAUAGUGGAUCGGUUCUCCAAAAUGGCUCACUUCGUGUCUCUUCACAAGUUGCCCACAUCUAAGGAACUGGCUCAUAUCUUCGCUAGAGAAGUAUUUAGAUUACAUGGGAUUCCCGUAUCUAUUGUAUCCGAUAGGGGUAGCCAAUUUAUUUCCAGGUUCUGGAGGGCCUUUUGUUCAGAAAUGGGUAUUUCUCUCUCAUUUUCUUCCACUUAUCAUCCCCAGUCUAAUGGGGCUGCUGAACGUGCCAACCAGUCCUUGGAGCAAUACCUCCGUUGUUUUGUGUCUCACCAUCAGGACAAUUGGUCUGACCUGCUUCCUUGGGCUGAAUUUGCUCGGAAUAACGCCACUCAUGAUUCUUCCGGCAAGACCCCUUUUUACGUUGUCUAUGGCCAGCAUCCCGUUGUUCUUCCGGCUGCAUUCUCCUCACAGGGCAUGCCAGUUCUGGAUGAGCAUUUGGCUGGUUUGCGUAAUACUUGGGAGCAGGUUCAGCGUUCUUUGGUGGACUCUGCUACUCGCCAGAAGGCUCAGGCUGACAAGCAUCGCAGAGCAGCUCCGUCCUAUGUUGUGGGGACAGGGUUUUGCUUUCCACGCGGAAUAUUCGUCUCCGGGUGCCUUCUAUGAAAUUGGCUCCCCGCUUCAUUGGACCUUAUCGUAUUAUACAUAAGGUUAAUCCUGUUUCUUAUGCCUUAGGCCUGCCUAAGAAUCUACGUAUUCCUAAUGUUUUUCACACCUCAUUGUUGAAACCUUUCGUACGCAACCGCUAUACCCGGCAUACUCCUCCUCCCCCUCCUAUCUCGGUGGAGGGUCAUGAGGAGUUUGAAGUGUCUGCUGUUCUUGACUCUCGUUUCCUUAGGGGUCGACUUCAGUACUUGGUACAUUGGAAGGGUUAUGGGCCUGAGGAGCACAGUUGGAUUUCGGCUGAUGCUGUUCAUGCUCCCCGUCUUGUGCGCUCUUUCCAUUCUCGUUUUCCUGCCAGGCCUGGUCCUACCCGCCCGGAGGGCGUGUCCUCAGGGGGGGGUACUGUAGCGUUACUUACCUUAACCGGGGGCCGGUCGCGGUCCUCUCUUCAAGCCGCGCGCGGUCCUGCGGCUGCACGAGCCGCGCGCGGCUCAUCCGACUGCUUUAGAUGGAAGGCGGGCAGUGACCGCGUGAAGCGGUCACGUGUCCCGCCUGAAACUAAGAGCGCGCCGCGAGUCUCGGGCGCGCUCUUAAAGAGACAGUGGGAGCCUAAUUGCCAAAAGGCUCCCAUUGGCUCCUGUCAUACCACACUCCCUAUACAAUUACCUAUAGGGGGUGUGGAAGUGACAGGAGCCAAUCACUUUGGUUUAAAAGCUAUUUAACUUACCUUUUUCCCUUAGCUCGUUGCCCUAUCGUGGUUUCUGUUUCAGUUCCCUUUAGCGCUUGUGGUGUUCAGUUGUGUUUUCUCGUAUUGACUUUGGCUUCGUAUUCUGACUUCGUUUUCGCUUUAUCCUUAUCUGUACUGUUUGCCGGCUUGCUGUUUUCCGUGUACCAGACCCCGGCUUGUCCUAGUUUACGCUGUCUCUCUGUGCCCUUGACCUCGGUUUGUUCCUGGCUCUGUCUCCUCUCAUAUACGUCAAGUCCGGCCAUUCUAAGGUCCGGUAGACGUAUUUCUCCUCUGUAUUUGCCUCUGUUUAGCUGGAUCCUGCGUGUAGGGGUAUAUUCUCGUUACAGUGGAGACAUUAAUGUUUGGAUGCAUUUUAGGCAGCCAUGACCCAGGAAGGAUCUCUAACAGCCAUCUGAGGAGUGACCAGUGAAGUUAUCACUAGGCUGUAAUGUAAACACUGCAUGUUCUCUGAAAAGACAGUGUUUACAGCAAAAAGCCUGAAGGUAAUGAUUCUACUCACCAGAACAAAUUCAAUGAGCUGUAGUUGUUCUGGUGACUAUAGUGUCCCUUUAAAUAUAUUUCACUUACCUUGUUUCCAGCCCAAGACACUGUCAUUGCAGCCAUCGAAUCUGUAUUCCACAAUGUCACACUGACUACUAUAAUAGGACACAUGGGAGCUGGGGAGGCUAUAAUGGGACACAUGGGGGCUGGUGGGCUCUAGGGACACAUGAUGGUUAUAAUGGGACACAUAGGGGCUGUGGAGGGGGCUAUAAUGGGACACAUGGGGGCUGGGGGGCUAUAGGGACACAUGGGGACUGAGGAGGGGGCUAUAAUGGGACACAUGGGGGCUAUGGGGCUAUAGGGACACAUGGGGGCUAGGGAGAGGGCUAUUAUGGGACACAUAAAGGCUAUAAUGGGACAUAUAGGGGCUGGGGAGGGGGCUAUAGGAACACAUGGGGGCUGGAGAAGGGGCUAUAAUGGGACACAUGGAGGAUAGGGGGCUAUAGGGACACGUGGGGGAUGGGGUGGGGGCUAUAGGGACACACCAAAGGUUGUCUUUGUUUAAUUUUAAUAACUGUUACUUGAAAUCAAGAAAACUCUAAAUUUUUAUAAUUUUCCAUAGAGUGCAGAGCAUUAGUAAAGGAAUCCUAUAGUCUCAAAAACAAUAUUUGAUAGGCUAUAGAUGCAUAGGGACACAUGGAGGGCUAGGGGGCUAUAUGGACACAUGAAAGGCUGGGAGGGGGAUAGUGGGACACAUGGAGGGCUGGGAGAGAGGGCCAAUAGGACACAUAGAGGGCUGGGUGCUAAUGGGACACAUGGGAGGGCUCAUGGGACACAUGUGGGGAUGCUGCUGAGACACAUGGGAGGGCUAAUAAGACGUAGAGGGCUGGGCGUUUUAGCCGCGAGGCAAACAAGGCAUUUGCCUUGGGCGGCAUUUUUCAGGGGGCGGCAAAAAACGCCGCCCCCCAAAUGCCCAGGGCAAAUGCCUUGUUAGCCUGGCGGCUAAUAGACAUGCGCUGGGCGGGCGGCUGGCGAGCACUUCCCCUGAGCGGUCUGCUCAGCUCCCUCGCGCGCCGCAAAGUGAGGCUGGGAGCCGGAAGACUGGUGGUCCAGUGGCACAGCAGCCACUGGACCACCAGGGAGGUAAUGAACCCCUUCCCCCCCAGCACUCCCAGAGGUAAGGAGGUGGGGGGGGGGAGUGAAUAAAAAAAAAAAAAGUGUUAAUGUGAGUGAGUGUGUGUCUGUUAAUGUGUGUGUGUGUGUGUCUGACUGUGUGAGUGUGUGUGUCUGCUAGUGAGUGAGUGUGUGUCUGACUGUCAGUGAGUGUGUGUUUGCCUGUGAGUGUGUGUCUGUUAGUGUGUGUGUCUGUUAGUGUGAGUGUGUGUGUCAGUGAGUGUGUGUCUGUUAAUGUGUGUGUGUUUGUUAGUGUGUGUGUGUGAGUUUGUGUGUGUGUGUCUGCUAGUGAGUGUUAGUGUGUAUGUGUGUGUCUGACUGUGUGUCAGUGAGUGUGUGUGUGUCUGCUAGUGAGUGUGUAUGUCAGUGAGUGUGUGUCUGUUAAUGUGUGUUUGUUAGUGUGUGAGUUUGUGUGUGUGUCUGCUAGUGAGUGUGUGUCUGUUAGUGUGUGUGUCUGACUGUUUGUCUGUUAGUGUGUAUGUGUGUGUCUGACUGUGUGUCAGUGAGUGUGUGUGUGUAUGUGUCUGACUGUGUGUGUGUGUCUGUAAGUGAGUGUGUGUCAGUGAGUGUGUGUCUGUUAGUGUGUGUGUGUGUGUUUCUGUUAGCGAGUGUAUGCGGAUCUGUCAGUGAAUGAGUGUGUGUGUCAGUGAGUGUGUGUCUGUUAAUGUGUGUUUGUUAGUGUGUGUGAGUUUGUGUGUGUGUCUGCUAGUGAGUGUGUGUCUGUUAGUGUGUGUGUCUGACUGUUUGUCUGUUAGUGUGUAUGUGUGUGUCUGACUGUGUGUCAGUGAGUGUGUGUCUGACUGUGUGUGUGUGUCUGUUAGUGUGAGUUUGUGUGUCAGUGAGUGUGUGUCUGUUAGUGUGUGUGUGUGUUUCUGUUAGCGAGUGUAUGCGGAUCUGUCAGUGAAUGUGUGUGUGUGUGUGUAUUUAGAAGGCGGGGCGGGGGAAGGGUUGGGGGGGGACGGGCGCGGUGGGGGUGGGGGGGUACAUGAGUUUUGUCCUGCCUAGGGCAGCACAAAACCAGGAUACACCACUGGGGCUGGGAGGGGGCUAAUGGGAUGCAUGGAGUGCUUGAAGAGGCUAUAGGGACACAUGGAGGGCUGGGGGGGGCUAAUGGGACACAUGGGGUUGCUAUUGAGACACAUGGGAGGGCUAAUGAGACACAUACAAGGCUGGGGGGGCUAAUAUGACAAAUGGGGGUUGCUAAUAAGACACAUGAAGGGGAUGGGGGUAAUGAGACACAUUGAUAGAUAGGGGAGUAAUAAGACACAUGGGGAGUCUGUGGAGAAAAAAAGACACAGAGGAGUCUGAGGAGAAAGAGAGAGAGGGGCUGAGAAAGACUAACAAAAGAUACACAGAGGGACUGGGGAAGGGGAGAAUGAGACACACAGAGGAGCUGUGGGGAAAGAGACACACAGAGGUGCUGCGGCCUGGGAAAGAGACUCACAGAAGGACUGGGGAAGGGGAGAAAGAGACAAACGGGUUGGGGCUAAGCGACACAUGAAAGGGGUUUUGGGGGAGAAAUACACAAACAAAGUGCAUCUUCACUUGUGUCUCCUGCUCUCCCCGUAAUUUAGAACUGACUGGUGAGAGACAUAAUUCAUAUUAAAGGGACACUAUAGUCACCAGAACUACUACAGCUUAUUGUAGUGGUUCUGUUUUUUUAGUAUAAGCAUCUCCACUCUCUACAUGGAGGUGCUGAAUGCUCCCCAUAGAGAUGCAUUGAUGCAAUGCAAAUCUAUGAGGAGAUGCUGAUUGGUGCAGUGAAGCACAGCAUUUUGCCACACAUGCGCAAUAGCCUCCCAAUGCUUUCCUUUGGGAAUAGAAUUGGCAUUGACUGAGCUCAUCCAGUUGUCAGUCAAAGUGAAGAGCACAGUCUUGUUACUUCAAAAUGAGCAAGAUAACGUAAUUUUGUUACUGCUGUGCAAUAGCAUGCAUUCACAAUUUCAGUCCAAUUACAAAACUUUCCUUAAUAUGCCAAGGUAGUUGUACUGAAGCAUUGAUUAUAUACAAAUGCUAGUUUUAUGUUAGUUACCUUUACAUUUUGACAUCCCUGUUAAGAUGUACAAUUUCAUUUAUAUACUAAAUUAAGAUAUGCUAUUUAAUGUCAAGAAGUGUGUGGCUGCUUGCUAAUCAAACAUGUUAUUAAAUAAUCAUGAAUGUUAAUAUAUGGACUUGGUCCACAUUUACUACAAUGACAGCCUUUACUCUUCUAGGAAGGCUUUCUGCUAGAUAGUGGGGAUUUCUACAGGUGUUCCAUUCAGGAGUAAGUGUAUUAAUAAAAUGGGCCACAAUUAUGUGACAAUUAUUCUAAAACAUGCUGUAUACUACCUGCAUUUGGUGUUCCAAAUAUCCCAAACGUGUUCAAUAUGAUUGUGAAGUUGUGGGUUGGGCAGCACAUUCAGGUUUUUCAAUCCUGACAUGGACACACAAUUUUAGUGUGCUUCUCACUUUGAACAGGGGUCACACUAAUUAAUUAAUUAAUUAAUUAAUGGGCCCUCUUAUAAAAUUGCCUAAAAUCUUGUAACAUCAUAGUAAGAGCAAGGCCCAUUAAUUUUUCUCCAGAAUACUUCACAUUUGGCACUAUGCAUCAGACUCUCAGUGAUCCUUUGUGUGGCCAGGUGGUAAUUCAUCAUUCAGGUGUGUAUUUCCACUACUCCCAAAUCCAAAGGAAGCAUGCACUACACCACUCCAGCUGUCACUUGGCAGUACACGUGGCUAUCACUGCUACGGAAAAUGAUUCCAUGCCACUUAUAACUGUUAUUAUGUUGACAAUACACAUUACUCUGUGAGCUUGUGUGACUUACCACUCCAUUAAAAUGCCGUUAGCCCUAGAUAUCCCCCAAAAAACACAGCAUUUAAACUUUAUUAGGAAUAAAAAAUAAGCAUAAAUCUGACAUUCGUUGAUUUGUCGUUGAUAUGUUGUUGCUGGAAAAUGUCAGUUUGAAUGUUAUUGGGGCUUCAGUGUGGAAAACUUAAUGGUUGUCAUGUCAAGAUAUGAUUUAGAGAUGCCUGUAAAAGUCUUACUUCCUAGGAGAGUUAGUUAAAAUACACCUCUAAAGCAUGCUUUUAUUAUUAUUAUAGGUGGCCUAAAUCAACUACCGAUAUGGCAAACCUAGGGCCAUUCUGCUACCAAAAGAGAGUGGAUUCUGCACUUGAUUUAUACUCUUUCCCAGACAUGGCAGCUGCUACAGCCUGAUCCAUUUAAGAAGUGUCUAUAUGUCC